CCGAGUGCUCGGCGUUCAAGCACCUGGGUAUUCGCGUGCCUAGGGAGUUGUUAGGUCCCAGAGGGCCGAGCAGAUCCUGGGGAGGCUUUCCCGCUUGGGUGGCGGGCAGAACCCUAGGGUGGCAGAACAAGGAGAGGCAGCGACGCUGAAUCCUUGGCGAGUCGUGUGCAAGGCGGAAAGCCUCUUAGUUUGCGAAUCAAGUUUCAGAAUAUUUUCCUAAAGGAUUUUGGAAAGUACUUUAAGUUUGCCACUAAAUCUUAAAACGCCACCAGGCUAAAUUUUAUUUGUUUUCUCUUAUUCAUAUCACCAUCGAUCAAUGGUUGUAUGCAUUGGUUGGUCCGGCAAGUAUUACUGUUCAGUCUAACAGACGUGGAAAACUCAGCCCUGACAGUUCUGGAGGCUGGGAAGUCUAAGACUGAGGGUUUGGCACCUGGUGGAGAGGCAACUUACCCUUGUCAUUCCUGAGACAUGGAUCCAUUCAUGAGGUCAUGACCUAAACAGUUCAGCAUUGGGCAUCAGGUUUCCAGCAUAUGAACUUUGGGGGACGCAUUCAAACCAUAGCAGGUACUUCCUAACCUUCUGGCACCAAUGCUCUAAGUUCAUCUGGAGUGUCUCCUGCCCCAGUCCUGGAAUCAGUCAUAUCUCCAAGAGUCCCUGUUUCCUUUUAUUGGAGAAUCAUAUUAGAAACCAAGACCUGGGGCUAGGUAUGUUCAGGACUCUUUGCAUUAAGGACAGUCUUUCCCAUUAGCUUCCACCCCGACACUCCCCCAGCAAACUGCUCCUUUUCUUUUUGCAACAAAGCUGUUUGGUUUUUUUUUGUUUGUUUGUUUGUUUUUGACAGCAGUAGCUGGUAAAUGUGCCCCCAAGUUCAUCCUCCUCUUUCCAUUGGAAUAAGAUUUUAGCUGAGCACAUGGGACCCCCAUAAUAAAAAGUUUGUUUCCCAACCUUCCAUGUAGCUAAACACGGCCAGUUAACUAAGUACUGGCAAAAGAGAGAUUCAUGAAGUAUCCAUCCAAGAAUCUUCAUUGAGAGAUUUCUUCCUUAAGAGACCACUUAUUUAUCUUCUGUAUUCAUCCCUUCCUCCAUGUUAAGAGUACCUGCAGACUGUCUUAGAGAGGGAGGACAUGCGUCCCCACACAGGAAUGGUGGCUCUGGGAGCAGAAUUCCCUCUCCAGUCUGGACCAUUUGGCUCUGUACUUUUGCAUGAGAGAGGUAAGCAGGUGUCAUUGGUUGCUGAAUGGACUCCUAAUAGCAUCUUGUUGGCUGCAGCUGGGUUGCAUGGCUAUGGCUGCCUAGGAGUUGGGGUCACCAUGAUGCAUUCUGCCCACACAAGAUCCACUCCUGGGGCUGGGCAUGCUGCCUGGCCAUAUCUGAGCAGAAGCAGAGUAGGUUACAAGGGGAAUGAAGGAUGGAUGGCUGUUGCACAGCAGCCAGUUUGUCUGCCAUGAAAAUCACUUGGAGAGGCAGGACUUGGGGAACCAGAGCUGACCAAAGGGAUAGCCUGUAUAUAAAUGUCAUUCCCAGGGCAGUUGGGGGUGGAGACCCACUUUACUGUUACAUGAGGCAAAACAUGAGUACAUCUGAUUUUUUUAAAGUCCACCAUACUUACAGAAAAGUCAUUUGUGGGAUUUCUGCUGUUUGGAAUACCCAUGAAGUUUUCUGAGUUUAGAAAGAUUGGCCUUAUGACAAGAUUUCUGACAGACGGUUGUCUUGAAUUCUCUGUGAGCUUGAUCAUCUCUAAUUCUUUCACUGUCAAUUGCUAGAAUUUAACUUCUAACUUAAACUUCUUAAUUUAAAAUUGUAUUUGUUACAUGUUUCCCAUUGUUAUAUAUAUUUAUAAUAUGAAAUGGAAAACAUAAGAAAAACAAAAAAGUCUCAUUCUUCUGUAGUUUUGUUUCCAUCCAGUUUUUUCUCUAUGUGGAAACCUUUGUUGUUGUGAUGGUGCUUUUUAUUUUUAGAUACAUUUUUAGAUAGCUUUUAGGCAGGUGUGAUCUGUCCUAUACAUGCUAUUUUGUAUCCCACUUUUUUCACUUAAUGCAGAAUACGUAAGUAGUUUUUCCCUUAUAGUUGCAAACAUAAUUUUGAGUAGCAAAAUAGUGUAUUUUUAAAAUUUUAACUUUUUCUAAUUUUUUAAAUGAAAAAUGUUUCUAACUCCAUUUGAUGCCCUCCACCAUGUUAUAACAUAGCGAGAAGGCCUUCAUCAAAGUUAGCCUCUCCAUGUUGGACUUCCCAGCCUUCAGAACUUUGAGCCAAGUUAUAUUGCUUAUUUAAAAAUAAAUUAAUAAAAGAAAAAGAUAGUCAUAAAAUGGAUCUAGAACUCUUGACAACUACUUGGCUGCUAGAGAAUGCGAUGGAUUUCUUUUUGCCCUGAGUGCUUGAGGCAAGAUGAGAGGGACCACGUAAAUGCCAAUGCUGACUUAAAUCUGGAGAAUGAAACUCACACACUUGGCAUGGAAUGACUGUUCCUUUAGCUCUUCUCACAGCAUUACUCUGCUUUGCUCACUUUGCAAAGGAAUAUUAUGGAUUACUGUUAGGGAAGAACUUCUAUUUAGGAAAAAGACCCAAAGGCCCUUACAUUAUAUGAGUCGGCACUUUGGGAGGCUGAGGCAGGAUUGCUUGAGCUCAGGAGUUCAAGACCAGCCUGGGAAAGAACAAGACCCCAUCUCUACUAAAAGUAGAAAAACUAGCCAGGCAUUGAGAUAAGCUCCUGUAGUCCCAGCUACUCAGGAGGCUGAGGCAAGAGGAUUGCUUGAACCCAGGAGUUUGAGGUUGCUGUGAGGUAGGCUGAUGCACAGCACUCUAGGCCUCACUGGUAGAAAAUAGACUUUUGAGACAUCAAAUUACACACACAAAAACGACAAAAAUAUACAAAUGGGGCUGUAUCAAACUAAAAAGCUUCUUUAGGGCGGCACCUGUGGCUCAGUCGGUAAGGCGCUGGCCCCAUAUACUGAGGGUGGCGGGUUCAAACCCGGCCCCAGCCGAACUGCAACAAAAAAAUAGCCAGGUGUUGUGGCGGGUGCCUGUAGUCCCAGCUACUCGGGAGGCUGAGGCAAGAGAAUCGCUUAAGCCCAGGAGUUGGUGGUUGCUGUGAGCUGUGUGAUGCCAUGGCACUCUACCGAGGGCCAUAAAGUGAGACUCUUGUCUCUACAAAAAAAAAAAAAACAACAACAAAAAAAGCUUCUUUACAGCAAAGGAAACGAGAAUAAAGAGACAACUUGUGGAAUGGGAGAAAAUAUUUGGAAACUAUUCGUUUGACAGGGGACUAACAUCCAGAAUAUACAAGGAACUCAACAGUAAAAAAUAAUCCCAUUUAAAAA